ACGGGAGGCAGCAGUGGGGGAUAUUGGGCAAUGGGCGCAAGCCUGACCCAGCAACGCCGCGUGAAGGAAGAAGGCUUUCGGGUUGUAAACUUCUUUUGUGAGGGACGAGCAGAAGACGGUACCUCAUGAAUAAGCCACGGCUAACUACGUGCCAGCAGCCGCGGUAAUACGUAGGGAGCAAGCGUUAUCCGGAUUUACUGGGUGUAAAGGGCGUGUAGGCGGGACAGCAAGUCAGAUGUGAAAGCACGAGGCUCAACUCCGUGUCUGCAUUUGAAACUGCUGUUCUUGAGUGCUGGAGAGGCUAACGGAACUCCUAGUGUAGCGGUGAAAUGCGUAGAUAUUAGGAAGAACACCAGUGGCGAAGGCGGUUAGCUGGACAGUAACUGACGCUGAGGCGCGAAAGCGUGGGUAGCAAACAGGAUUAGAUACCCUGGUA
rnacentral:rRNA from 1 species